rnacentral:antisense_RNA from 1 species
GUAAUCUCUUGCCGCAGAGGAGGAACACGGGAUCCCCAGCCAGAUGGUCCAUGGGUGACUUCACAGCACAUGUGCUACCUCCAAGAGUUCUUCAUUCCCAUGGUCCACAUGAAGAAAAUGGACCCCAAAGGAACAAAAGCAACAAAGAUAAAAAUUCCUUCUCCUCCCAUGGGGGUGGGAGGUGAAGAAUGAAGCAAGCAAACACUCAUAGAGAAAUGUGCAGAGUUCUCUGAGGAACAAGGACCUUCCAGAGUGAUGCUUUUCCCUAGUGGCAGCCUUGGCCAGGGCAACAGACAUCUGCACAAACGCAGGGUGUUGAAGCAGCUGUUCUGAGAUGCAGUGCCUGAGAAUCUGGGAUCCACAAUGUGAACUUCUCAACAACCCCUGCACCUGCCACUUCCCUGAAUCUUCCACUAAGCACCAGAAGACACAUGCAUUUUAAAUCAAAGGAAUGGCUCCCAUGCAGAAACCAGAGUGUUAAAAUGGAUCCCUCCCACCCUGAACUCUGACUGGUUUGGUUCACCUCAAAGACCAUCCUCCUGCUAUAUGGUUUAGAUAAGUCUAAAAAGAUGAGCCAUUCAAGCCACAGUGUCUUCUAUCUCCAAGCUGGUGAGACACACUGCAGUCCUCUACAGAACAGAAGAGAGACAGUGCACAGGAUUGCUCUUGGGUAAGGUUUCUUUUUCUUAUGUAAUGAAUGGGUUACUCUUCAGCCCUUAGAAUAAAAA